rnacentral:rRNA from 1 species
CCUACGGGAGGCUGCAGUGAGGAAUAUUGGGCAAUGGGGGCAACCCUGACCCAGCCAUGCCGCGUGAGUGAAGAAGGUCUUCGGAUUGUAAAGCUCUUUCGGCCGUGACGAUGAUGACGGUAGCGUCGAAAUAAGCACCGGCAAACUUCGUGCCAGCAGCCGCGGUAAUACGAAGGGUGCGAGCGUUGUUCGGAAUUACUGGGCGUAAAGGGAGUGUAGGCGGAUAUGUAAGAUAGCGGUGAAAUGCCGGGGCUCAACCCCGGAACUGCCAUUAUGACUAUGGAUCUAGAGUAAGGGAGAGGAUAGCGGAAGACCCAGUGUAGAGGUGAAAUUCGUAGAUAUUGGGUAGAACACCGGUGGCGAAGGCGGCCUACUGGACGGUGACUGACGCUGAGGCUCGAAAGCGUGGGGAGCAAACAGGAUUAGAUACCCGUGUAGUC